GUUCAGAAAAAAACCUAGUAAGUUGGCCUUUUUAAAAUGUUUCACAUUUCGUUAAAGUAUUGUUUAAUUCUCUUUUGGUGAGUGUCAGAAUAUAGAAUUAUGCUUUUGAGUCGUAGAUAUUAUUAUCAUAUCCACUUGGAGCUUUUGCCAAAUCUAAAUCGCCAUCACAGUUGACAAGGAUAUCAUCCAAACUUGAUGGUUGUCCAUUGACAUUGUUCAGAUCUUCGUAAACUCCUGGUUCUAGUUCUAACCGUAAAGAUGUG
rnacentral:lncRNA from 1 species